AAAUAUCUACAGAGAUGGUUCAAUCAGUAAAGUACUUACUAUAAAAGCGCAUAAGGGCCUGAGUUCGAUCCCAGCACCCACUUGAAGAGUUAGGAAUGGUGUCAUGGGUUUGUAAUGCAAGUUCCAGGGAGAUACAGACAGAUAAAUCUCUGAGGUCCACUGGCCAGCCAGCUUUAAUCAGUAAGCCCCAGUUCCCAGUGAAAGACUACUGUAAAAACAUAAAAAACAAUCUAUAAUCCAAAGUGAAUAGCUCCUGAGAGAUAACACCUUCAGCCAGGGUUCACUCACACUCAUGUGCACACAUGUACACCUAUGGACACCUGUGAACAAAAAUAAUCUUUUUUAAAAACCCAAAAUUGGGCUUGAAGAAUGGCUCAGAGGUUAAGAGCACUUCUGCUCUCCAGAGGACUUCAGUUCAGUUCAUAGUGCACACAUAAGGGGACUCACAACUAUUUGUAACUCCAGUUCCUAGUGAAUAAGUCACCCUCUUCUGACCUCUUCAGGCACCUACACACAGACACACAAACACACAGACACAAACACAUAGAGAGGAGAAAGGAGCUAGGCAUGGUUGUGUACCUUUGGAAGGCAGAAGCAGGUGGAUCUCUGAGUUUGAGGCCAGCCUCCUCUAUAUAAUGGGUUCUAAGGUAUCCCAGGCCUACUGUCUCAGCACAGUGUUAAUUACUCUAUUGAAUGUGUGUGAGCUCACAUGUGGGGGUCAGAAGACAACAGGCAGGAGUCAGGUGUUUCCCUCUACCAUAUGGGUCCUGGGAAUGGAACUUAGAUUGUCAAACUUGGCGGCAGGGGACUUUACCAGCUGGGCCAUUGCCCCAACUCUCAUCCUUUGUCUUCUGAAAACUGCCUCUCACUACUACACGGAAGAUUCGUUUUGUUUUUUCCCCUCCUUCGUUUCCCCUUCUGCUGCUGUUUCCCUACAGAAGCAGAGAGCUGAGGUAAUCAUGCUGUUGUGUUCACGAUGUCGUUAACAAGGCCUUUCUCAUUUCAAUUCCCAGUCAUGCUCCAUCACUACUUAGUGGCUUUAAUGUGCUGGACAUAUGUCCUUAAAUAUACAUGUAUCUUUGCAUAACGUAUAAUGUUUUAUGUAUGUAUUGUAAAUGUACAUAAUUGAUACUGUGCUAUAGAUCUCAUUCUGUUUCUUUUUCAUGUUUCCAUAACUACUUCUAUUAUGUAGUAUUUCCUAAAUGACCUUACACCCUUUGCCACACUGGUCCUGGGCCAAGAUGGGCCAAUCAAAGUCCUUACCCAGAAUUUUUUGAACUGAAAUUGAGAGAGAAUCCCUCUUCAGUAUGGAAGCCAUAAAAUGUAAAACACAGGAGCUGUCAGCAGCCAUGUGUCCUGCAGUACGGAGCCAGCUGGUCUGCUGUGAGAAGGAAGCCGCCGUGCCAGAGGCAGCAGAGGUGAGAAACUGAGUGACAGUCACGGAAGCUCCCCAGCCCGUGGUGCAGUUGUUGCUGAAGCUCCACCUCCCCUCCGUGGUUUGUUCAACCCUUCCUUGGAUUCAGUGAGCCAGAGAACCUGGACACACUCAUCCUUGGCCUACAUUACUUCAAAUUGAGGCCCUACCACUUACAAACUCUAUUACCUAGGGCUCUCUACAGGGACAGAAUUGAUAGGAUUAUAUGUAUAUAAAUAAAGGGUUUGUGUCAGAGUGCCUUACAGGCUAUAGUGGCUAGUCCCACAAUGGUUGUUUCUUGGCAGAAAAGCCAAGAAUCCUGUAAUGCUCAGUCCACGCUAUGUUGGAAUCCCGAAGAUGUUGGUUCUAAUUCCAGUGAAGGAUUGCCUCAGCAGCAAGGUAGAUGAACUUACCAGCAAGAGUAAGGGCAAGCAGGCAAGAAGCAGAAGCUUCCUUCUUUCAUGUCUUCUGUGGGCUGCCACGAAAACUGUGACCCAGAUUCAGGGUAGGUUGUCUUCCCCUCAAGUGGUCAAAUCAAGGAAACCCAAGUUACCAAGGGAGAGUAGUCAUCAUAUGACAUAUAGGCCUAAUUAUAACUAUUAUCCUUUUUUGCUCCUUUCAGCUGUGGUAAAAUACACAUAAAUGUAUCAUUUAAUCGUUUUUAAGUGUAUGCUUUUUGUUGUUUAAUAAAUUCUGUCGUAUACCCAAACCCAUUUAUUAUAUGCAUUAAACAUCACUGCACUGCCCUAAGCCCAGCCCCUGUCAGCUAGUCAUCUUUCCUUGAAUUUGAUUACUAGAGGUAUCCCAUAUGGUUGGAAUCAUGGAGUAGGUAUCUUUUCAGAUGGCUUAUUUCCCUUAGCAUAAUGUCCUCAGUGUUCAUCUAUUUUACAACAUGUUAGAAUUUCCUCCUGUUAAGUGAAUCUUCCAUUUUGUGUGCAUAUUAUAUAUGUAUAAACAUUGUCUGUCAGUGUC
rnacentral:lncRNA from 1 species